CUCAGUACAGGUCCCGCCGCCGCGCCGCCUGGCUCUCGUAUUCCUGGUUCUCGGCGGGCUGUGGGGCUUCCGCGCCGCAGCCGUUAGUCUCGUCGGGUAGGUGACUCCUUCAGCGAGCAGGCGCAGCGACGAGAAAGGCCUGGCGGGGUUGCGCUGUCUUCCCGCCCACCGGAAGGCCCUGAGGAGAAGCCUCGGGCCCUGAGGGAGGGCUUGGGGUCGGGGGCGGCCGCUGCCGCCGCCAUGUUGGGCUGGAGGUACGCACGCUCCCAACGCUCUCUGGCUGCGCUCCCAACGGUAUCUGGCUGCAAAUCACGGCGGGAGCGCCUCGGGCCUCUUGUCUUUUGACCCUGUCCUUGGAACCCGAGGAGACUUGCCGUUCCCGGGGGAGGGUGUGUGUGAGUCGGGCGGCGGAGGCCGUCUACGCCAUUGUAGGGGCGGGGGGAGCCGAGAUUAGAGCAUCAGCCUGAGAGAAGUGGUGCUUCUGGUUCUCCGCUCUGCCUCGCAUCUUUCAGCGAGGCCUCGUACCUCAGUUUUCCCAUCCGUGAAGUGGAGCUGGGCCUGCCUGACUCAUUCAUUCAUCAGGUGGAGGCCUUGACGCUCUAGGAGCCCUUUCAAAGGACUUUGCCUUACACGAAAUAGUACCUAUCGUUAUUCACUCUGCAGUAACCACCCGGAUUUGAGUGGCGGGUGUUUGCACAGUAAUUCAGUUUCCUCUUCACCCUCCUGCCAUUCGUCUUCCCCUCCAGUUUAUCUCCUGAAAGAGUUUGAAAUCAGCCUUGUCUAUUAUUGAUAAACUCCUGUAGGUGUAUUUGGUAUUUCCCUUAAAACAUGCAGACCAAAGGAAAGGCAAUAUUUUCCCCCCACGAAGCAGUUAACUUGGUAGAGGCCAGCCGUUGUAUGGAAGAGAAAGAGAGUCUCUUCAGGACAGGCAGUUUGGAUCCUGCUAAACCAGAAUAAAAAAUCUAGAACAUGGGCCGGGCGAGGUGGCUCACGCCUGUAAUCCCAGCACUUUGGGAGGCCAAGGCGGGCGGAUCACGAAGUCAGGAGAUCGAGACCAUCUUGGCUAAUACGGUGAAACCCCGUCUCUACGAAAAAUACAAAAAAUUAGCCGGGCGUGGUGGCGGGCGCCUGUAGUCCCAGCUACUCAGGAGGCUGAGGCAGGAGAAUGGCUUGAACCCGGGAGGCGGAGUUUGCAGUGAGCCGAGAUCACGCCACUGCACUCCAGCCUGGGCGACAGAGCAAGACUCCGUCUCAAAAAAAAAUAAAUAAAUAAAAAUCUAGAACAUGGAUGUCCCCUUGCUUUAGCAGACCUAGCUGAUCACACAAGGUCCUGUAUUGUUAGGCUGCAUCACAGGCCGCAAAGACCCAGGUAUCUAUCCAGUUGUUAGAAACCAUCCUGAGAGUUAGAUACCACUUUUCUGUUGGAAAUACAGACCAUUUCCUGAAGCCGUAUGGUUGAGGUAAAACAGGCCUUUUGCAGUCUUAUAUUUUGAGUAAGGCCAAAACUGCCUAGUGUUACAAAACCAGACAAAAAGCCCAGGUACCCAGUCUUGCAGGAUAGAAAUGUGUGACUAAAAUGAAGCAUCGAUCUGAGAAGACUACAAAUGAGCGGGAAAGAUUGGACAGGAGCAUGCUAUACAUUAUUUAGAUUAAUGUUGAUAUUUAAGGAGCCAGGAUAUUGGUUUGUUUUUGAGGGGUGCCCAUCUACUUUAUGUAAGAAGCUAUAAACUACACUUCUUUCAGUUUCUGCUUAAUCCUUGCUCAAACAAGGAAUAAUUUCUUAUUCCAAAGUAGACAUUGGUACAUCUUUUACUAGGUACAUAAUUUGGGAUGAAGUCUGAUAAAGCUCCUUAGAAGUACUUACAGUACACCCUCACAAGGGUGUACCAUCUACCCAUGGUUUAAACAGAAAUUAAAAUUCUACCUUCGUGGAAAAAUUUGCCAAGUUUUAAUGGAUUCAGUGCUCAUUAAAAACUUUUAGCCUGUCUUGAUCUUUAACAUAAUUAUUGGUGUGAAACAAUGGCUUCUGUGGAAAAUUAAAGUUUUAGUGGUUUGCUAUUUGUGAAAUACAGGCUUUUUCAUGUAUCAUAUUAGCAUAUAAGCUGGCUUAAUCAUUAGUACUGAUCUUCAAGUUACUAAGACACCAGAUAUUUGUUACUUUGUAAUUUGAGUUUUUAAAAAAAUUCCGAAAUUGGCUUUUCGAUGUGUGAAAAGGACUACUUAUUAGAUGCUUGUUUUUAAAUUUACAUUCAAUUAAUUAAAGCUAGACUCUUUAUAUUCUUAGGCUUGGUAUACUAUUUGUAUGUUUUGUAGUAAGUGUAUAAAAAUAAUACCUUUGACUUUGUAUAAAAAAAAUCUUUCUUGCUUUAAAAGCCAUGUUGGAUUUGCAUUCUAGACCGUAAUAAAUAUAACUACUUUAACAUAAAAA
rnacentral:lncRNA from 1 species